rfam:Xenopus tropicalis strain Nigerian Chr02_contig_1370, whole genome shotgun sequence.
GUGGGAUACGGUGAUAUGCAUCCUGUCACCAUUGGGGGAAAGAUUGUGGGCUCUCUGUGUGCCAUUGCCGGGGUGUUAACAAUCGCCCUGCCGGUGCCUGUCAUCGUCUCUAAC